AAGGCCAGAAUUCCUUAGAGUUUUACCCGGUUUCACUGACUGGGCUGUGGAUUGGGUCCGUGUUCUUUCAUCCAGUGCCAGCCUCAGUCUUCUACGGUGUUUAUCUCUUAGGCAGAAAAAGGUACUUUGAAGGAUAUGUGGAAAAAGAA
rnacentral:sRNA from 1 species